rnacentral:tRNA from 1 species
GGGACUGUGGUGCAAUGGAUAACGCGCCUGACUACAGAUUAGGAGAUUCCAGAUUUGGAUUCUGGUAGGCUCG